rnacentral:rRNA from 1 species
AUUGAACGCUGGCGGCAGGCCUAACACAUGCAAGUCGAGCGGCAGCACGGGUACUUGUACCUGGUGGCGAGCGGCGGACGGGUGAGUAAUGCCUAGGAAUCUGCCUGGUAGUGGGGGAUAACGUCCGGAAACGGGCGCUAAUACCGCAUACGUCCUACGGGAGAAAGUGGGGGAUCUUCGGACCUCACGCUAUUAGAUGAGCCUAGGUCGGAUUAGCUAGUUGGUGAGGUAAUGGCUCACCAAGGCGACGAUCCGUAACUGGUCUGAGAGGAUGAUCAGGCACACUGGAACUGAGACACGGUCCAGACUCCUACGGGAGGCAGCAGUGGGGAAUAUUGGACAAUGGGCGAAAGCCUGAUCCAGCCAUGCCGCGUGUGUGAAGAAGGUCCUCGGAUUGUAAAGCACUUUAAGUUGGGAGGAAGGGCAGUUACCUAAUACGUGAUUGUUUUGACGUUACCGACAGAAUAAGCACCGGCUAACUCUGUGCCAGCCGCCGCAGUAA